rnacentral:tRNA from 1 species
GGGAUUGUAGUUCAAUUGGUUAGAGCACCGCCCUGUCAAGGCGGAA